AAAUUGAAGAGUUUGAUCAUGGCUCAGAUUGAACGCUGGCGGCAGGCC
rnacentral:rRNA from 1 species